UGCAAGUCGAACGGUGUAAGCCCAGCUUGCUGGGUGGAUCAGUGGCGAACGGGUGAGUAACACGUGAGCAACCUGCCCCCUACUUCGGGAUAAGCCUUGGAAACGAGGUCUAAUACCGGAUAUGAGUGCCUGCCGCAUGGUGGGUGCUGGAAAGUUUUUCGGUGGGGGAUGGGCUCGCGGCCUAUCAGCUUGUUGGUGGGGUAAUGGCCUACCAAGGCGUCGACGGGUAGCCGGCCUGAGAGGGCGACCGGCCACACUGGGACUGAGACACGGCCCAGACUCCUACGGGAGGCAGCAGUGGGGAAUAUUGCACAAUGGGCGAAAGCCUGAUGCAGCGACGCCACGUGAGGGAUGACGGCCUUCGGGUUGUAAACCUCUUUCAGCAGGGAAGAAGCGAAAGUGACGGUACCUGCAGAAGAAGCGCCGGCUAACUACGUGCCAGCAGCCGCGGUAAUACGUAGGGCGCAAGCGUUGUCCGGAAUUAUUGGGCGUAAAGAGCUCGUAGGCGGUCUGUCGCGUCUGGUGUGAAAUCCCAUGGCUCAACUGUGGGCUUGCAUCGGGUACGGGCAGACUAGAGUGCUGUAGGGGAGACUGGAAUUCCUGGUGUAGCGGUGGAAUGCGCAGAUAUCAGGAGGAACACCGAUGGCGAAGGCAGGUCUCUGGGCAGUUACUGACGCUGAGGAGCGAAAGCAUGGGGAGCGAACAGGAUUAGAUACCCUGGUAGUCCAUGCCGUAAACGUUGGGCACUAGGUGUGGGGCGGGUUCCACUCGUUCUGUGCCGUAGCUAACGCAUUAAGUGCCCCGCCUGGGGAGUACGGCCGCAAGGCUAAAACUCAAAGGAAUUGACGGGGGCCCGCACAAGCGGCGGAGCAUGCGGAUUAAUUCGAUGCAACGCGAAGAACCUUACCAAGGCUUGACAUGUACGAGAACGCGUUAGAGAUAACGAACUCUUUGGACACUCGUACACAGGUGGUGCAUGGUUGUCGUCAGCUCGUGUC
rnacentral:rRNA from 1 species